CCAGGGUUCCCCGGACUCGUUCCAGGGUCGUUUCCGUUCGACAUGCCAUUUCGCAGGCCCGCGGAAGAGUUGCUGUAGUCCCAGUGGUUGCCCCCCUGUCCGGUCGCCUCCGCCUCGGCCGUCAAAGUCAGAGUUUCUCGGAGUGCGCACAAGCAGCGACUAGGCUACACUGGCCCGCAUCGACACACCCACUCACUCUGUGACUGCAGGCAGAGGGCGAGGAAGCACACAGGGACUCCCAGAACACAGGGAGAGCAGAACGAAAAGAACAACUGGCUGUGAUGGGCCAGCCGAGGAGGGCUUGUUGUUUAGUUCAGGCUCCAAAGCUGUUCGACUUCACCGGAAAGUUAGCAAGAACGAAACAAGGAGAUAUCCGGCUAGAUCUUUCAAAAUAAAAUAACGGAAAUCUG